rnacentral:tRNA from 1 species
GGCUCGGUAGCUUAGUUGGUAAAGCACUUGUCUAGCGAAUAAGGGUCAUGAGUUCAAAUCUCACAUGAGCUG